UACGGAGGGUGCAAGCGUUAUCCGGAUUCACUGGGUUUAAAGGGUGCGUAGGCGGGGAAGUAAGUCCGUGGUGAAAUCUCUGAGCUUAACUCAGAAACUGCCGUAGAUACUAUUUGCCUUGAAUAUUGUGGAGGUGAGCGGAAUAUGUCAUGUAACGGUGAAAUGCUUAGAUAUGACAUAGAACACCAAUUGCGAAGGCAGCUCACUACACAAUCAUUGACGCUGAGGCACGAAAGCGUGGGGAUCAAACAGG
rnacentral:rRNA from 1 species